rnacentral:lncRNA from 1 species
ACCAACAGUUGCACCCUUGGCAUUGUUGAGGAAUGAAACAAGAUUGUCAGCAGGAUGGGAUACAAUAGCACAGAAGACACCGGCAAUAUAUCCACCAGCAAAGCUAAUACCAAGUUGCAUAGAUUUGCUGCACUCAUUUUUAGGCUUUGGGACUGCAUGCUUGUAGAUCAACUCCACAAUAGUCUCAAAGGACGCAAACUUCAUCAUUGUAUCUGCAAUUUACGAUGUUUAAUCCUUAAUGUCCAACAACAAAUAGUAACUCAAAACAAAGUCAAAAUUGCAACAUUGCAGGAUUAUACUUUUAUUUGUGUCGUGCAAGUAGAAAAAGAGAAAAAAGAUAGAUAAAAGACCGAAUUAAGAAGGAAAGCUUUAGUAGAAUUACUAGGAUGACUCUACUUGAACCAAAAAUGGGCCUCCCUCUAAAACCUACCAAGAGCAGAAAACAUCAUGACAUGGACCUUCCCAGCCCUUAAUCUGCAUUGCUUUAAAUCACAGCUAUAACAGCAAAAAGGUUCAAAAAUUCUUACCCUCGAAUCCUACUGUAUUCCCGAAGAGUCAGAGCAUCUAAACAUAUGAAUAGAAGGGAAUGUUAUCAAAGAAUUGAGCUAGAUUUUCCAUCAUCGAAUAUCCAACCUCACUCUAAUUUACACAUUUAACUUAAAUCGCCAACCUCCAUCCAAUCAUACUCCAAUCCGAGCCCUAUUAUGUCCCCUUCCUCCCAAAGCUUCUGCUCUCACUCUGAUUGCCCCCUUCCACUAGUCCUGUCCUUCCCCUUUCAUUCCCCAAGCUCCCCAUAAAGUUCAAUACCCAAUUUUGUGGAAUAGUAUGUUAAUGGCCAACAAGCAUAUUAAAUCUUGCAAUGUACUUAGAUCAUAGGCUUACGUGCAAUAUUUUGUCUUCCAAAGAAAAAUGCAAUAAGUUCUUAAUAUAAAGCAGAGCAUUUCAACAAGUGACCCUAUUUACUUGGCUUGAACAAGUGAAGGUGCUUGAGAGCUAACUUUCUAGCUUUCACCUAACCAAAAAAGGAAGCCAUUACCAGAACGAGAAAGAGACGAGAAAUUUCCAUCAGCUAUGACAAUUUUUUUGAUGAAGUCCAUCAGCUAUGACAAUUAAUUACUGCUGCAUCCAAACAUAAGCCCUUAUCUAGCCAUCUCCAACUUCCAGGCCUUCUGGGGCUUAUUGGAUCCUAAUUAUAGAAACUCUUGCAGUUCUAAGUAAGGUGACUGUCCGCAUUUAAUAAACAUACAUGGAGAAGGAAAUCUCUCUAUUUGUUUUAUUUAACAGAGAAAUGAAAAGUUAAUUUUCUCAAAUAACUAUUCCAUCGAUCUGUUUUGGGGGUAGCGAGGGGAGGUCCCGCAUUUGAAGUUUCUAUUGUUUUUAAAGACAGGUCCAACUAACAGACCCUAACUUUUACGAAUUCUAGCAAACGCCAAAACGCUUCUCACUCAUUUGGGUAAUCAUAUGGUUAUCAAACCCCUAGUCGCAUUAUUAAAAUAUCCCAGGUAAUAAGCAAGUUAGUAAAUAACAACAAGCAGAAGAAAACAGAUGGUUCCACUUACAUGGAAUCUGACGUCCCCAAAGAGGAACCAAACCUUUGUACAGGCUGCAAAAAUAUAACAAUAUUAAAAUCUGUUCUAUAAGGUACAGAUUAAGGAAUGUGCUAACAACAAUGAUAAUAGCAUACCCCAUGGUUCCUUCAGAUCUUACAAAUUUCGGUAAUCCAUCUGACAAUCCCCUAGCAAAACCAGGCUGUGUCUGAACACGGACUUUUACAGCUUCAAAUGGGCAAAGAGCAAUGUCUGCAAUCACUUCUGCAGAUGCAGAACCAGCAAGGUAUAUCAGAGUUUUGUACUUUGCAGCAUUUUCUGCUCCAGCAAGGUCAGAGUAGUACUUCUUGAAGAAUUCAUAGAAUCCGAACUUGCAUGCACCCUGAGCACUGUAACCCAAAAGAGUAGGAACCCAUCCCCUGAAGAAGCCCUUAGCACCUUGCUCCUUAAGCAGCACUCCAAAUCCAGAUGAUAUGCUCUUGUAUUUCGCGGGGUCAAUCUAGGAAUUUAUGAAAUUUCAGUCAGUUUAGAUGCUUCAUUACUAAUGCUCGGUAAGAAAAUAGAAACAAUUUAAUUACUAAGGGAAAUCACACAUGUAGACAAUCAUCCCAUAGUUAAGAAAAGUAAAAGGGGAAGCUAGCAAAUGAGAAACUAUCCCAUUGGGAAGGAAAGUCAGUACAGUAAAAGAUCUAGGACCAUUACGAGCACAAUGCCCAAACAUGUAAAAAUGAAGCUCUUUAAUCACAAAUCUAAGAAAAAGUUAUCCAAGUUUUCAAAUGUCAUUUCCUCAAUCUACAUGAAAACCUUAAGCUAAUGCUUCAGAGAAGACUGUUAAGCAAUAAUACCACGGGUGACUGAGUAGGAUUGUUUAGCAAGGUUCAGGGUUAAAAAGCACCGAGACUAAGACUAUAAUAGCAGAGAGUCCAAUACAUUCUCGUGUUGACAAACUGCUCGAUCAUAAUCAGCAAAAGUGACAUGUGAAGGAUGAGAUGGGAAACAACCAAGUCUGAAUAGUACUCCUUCCCCUUUCCAUAUAUCUAAAGAUAAUACAAAUCAAAAUUAAAUGAAAAGGCCGCCCCGCUUCCUUGCUUUGAGACAUGUAGAGGAACAUUUCACAUUUAAAAUCAUUCAAACUACACACAUGAUAGACUAAGAUCUGAAAUAAUAAUUUCCAAUUAAAUCUUAAACAAAAUAAUAACGCCUCCUCCUCUAUACAGAGAAAUCACCACUUCAACACUUUUGCCAAUAAAAUCAGUCCUGCUAGUCACGUUAAAAAUUUAGAUCUAGAACACGCACAAUAAUAUUCGAGUAAGAAGAGUAUAGAUCGGAUCUACACACACAAAAGGAGCAUAUAAUAAUGUUUAAAAUAGUUGAGAAGUCAACGAUCGCGUCACAAAUGGACAGAUCUGAAAUGCAAAGCGUAAAUGAAAUUGGAUCGAGACCUGCAUGUUACAUUUGACGAGAUCAAGAGGAGUGACAGCCAUGUGAGUGAGACCACAGCUGAGGAUACCACCGAAGGUACAGGCAGCAUAGAACUGCGGCGAGUACAUCUCAAUCUUUCCAGGUUCGCUAGGUGCAGGAAUCACGAAGCUCUUGUUGGUGGACGACGGCUGUGCAGCGGGCAACACGCUGGCGGUGUUCUCGGGAACAGCAAAGGUUUUGGGAGUGAAAGAAGAAAACGAAGAUGGAGUGUAGAGGAAGCUUGGAAGAAGAGACUGACGGCGUGAGUUUUCCAUGGCGAAAUGAGUGUGUGACGGCGCAGAGAGAGAGAUCGGAAGCGAGGAGAAAUGGGCGAGGGCA